GUGGGGCGCUGACGCGCUCCUCCCCGGAGCGUAUGGCAGCGCAGCGCCGGACGGGGCGUUCUCCCUCCCCCCCUCCUCUCGCUUCCAUCUCCGCCGUCUCCUCGGUCUCCCUUCCCAUCCCGGCCCCUCCUCCGCCAGCCGCGUCCUCCCGGGCUUGGUGAGGAACUGUUCCUGGAGGAGCCGCGGGACGCCAAAACCAGCCAAUGGGAAGCGGCGAUUCGCGGAGAUUGGCACUGAUGAUGGGAAGGAAUAUUGAUCUCAGCGUUACUUUGACCAUUAAUGAAUUAUGAUGGCAAUAAGCAAAGAUUCGCACCUCUAGCCUCCGGGGAGCUUAAUCUUCUGCUACAACAUUUGCAUUUGGUGUCUCUCUACUGCUCAGGCUGGAGUGCAGUGGUGCGAUCAUAGCUCACUGCAGCCUCGACUUCCUGGGCUCAGGUGACCCUCUCGCCUGAAACCAUAUUCCCCCUCAAGUAGCUGAGACUACAGAGACAAGGUCUCACUAUGUUGCCUAGGCUGGUCUUCAACUCCUGGCCUGAAGUUAUCCUCUCAUCUUGGACUGCCAAAGUGCUGGGAUUUGGCACCACUGAGCCAAAUCCCAGGCGUGAGCCACUGAGCCUGGGCUGUUCUUCCUUCUUUAUAGGCUUAAAAACCUUCAAAAAUUAUCUCAAGAUUAUCCACUCCAGGAAGAACUUGAGCCUCAUUGAUUGAAUUGGUGUACUUCUCCUCCCUUCCUAUAGCAUUUUCUUUAUGUGUCUAUCCUAGCACUUCUCACACAGUGUUGAAUUCAUCUGUCCACCUGGCUCAUCAUACAAAUUGUUCCAUGAGUUCAAGGAUCAUGCUGCAUGCUGGAUUCCCCCGGAAGCUGAUUCUGAGAUGGAGUUUAGUGUACUAAAUAUUUAUGUGGGCCUUUGGAUCAUCACCUGUGAAAAGGAAGAGAAGGAAGCAGGAGUGGACCUAGGGUGAAGUGAAGCUCUGAUGCAAACCUGACAACUGCCUCACCUGACACCAUGAAGAGCUCUGGAGCUAGAAUGGCCUUUUGUUGUUCUGAAUUGGUGUGAGGUAGCUAGGUCUUUACACCCCUGCCACCACCCAUUAUUGGGUAUGGGCCAACCAGGAAGGGGCAUGACCAUGAGUGAUGCAGCUCUGCAGCUGAAGCAAUAACUGAAGAGGCUGACAGCUGAGGGCCAUCUGCUGACAGUACUCCCUGCAGCUGGGCAGCACAUCCUUUCUCAAAAGGGGAUCAAGGCAGUUGCAUCUCCGUGUCCACCAUGGACUAUAUAUUUUUUCUUUGCAUUCCUAGGGCCUCCCAUAGUAUAUGGCACAUAGUAGGCAAAACUGGAGGUCUGUAGGGCAAAUUCAGCUAGUAGAUGAGUAUUGUUUUUUCACCCACAAAGAGAUUUUUAAAAAUUAGUUGUCAACAUUUAAAAAUAAAAAGAUUUCACAUUGAAAUUA
rnacentral:lncRNA from 1 species